rnacentral:rRNA from 1 species
ACGAUCCUACGGGGCGCAGCAGUGAGGAAUAUUGGUCAAUGGGAGAGAUCCUGAACCAGCCAAGCCGCGUGAGGGAAGACGGCCCUAUGGGUUGUAAACCUCUUUUGUCGGAGAACAAAACCCGGGACGAGUCCCGGACUGCGUGUAUCCGAAGAAAAAGCAUCGGCUAACUCCGUGCCAGCAGCCGCGGUAAUACGGAGGAUGCGAGCGUUAUCCGGAUUUAUUGGGUUUAAAGGGUGCGUAGGCGGUCCGUUAAGUCAGCGGUAAAAUUGAUGGG